UGUGCCCACCAGGUUUUCAGGUUUUUCACCAGCCACGGGCCCAGGGAAGGGGUGGUGGGGUGGCCGUGGUUAUUCAGGAGACCCUGUUUCCAAGGGAGGUCUCUGUUACAGAGAUAGGCGGGAGUGAGACCCUCCUCUUGAGGUGGGGGCCUAGUGGUCGGGUGGGUCUGCUGCUUACAUACCUUUCCCCAGCUGUGUGGCAGCGGCCCUACCUGGGCUUCUCGAUCUCCUCUCGGGGGUGGCGGUGGAGUUCCCGGACCUUAUGGUCUUGGGGGACUUCAAUUUGCCUUCCCUGGGGGGUGCGUUGGGUUUGGCCCAGGAUUUCACCAGGACUUACCUGGUGGCUAUGGGAGAGGCGAGAAGGUCUUAUCUCUCCACUCUCAUAGCGUCCGCAGAUAACCGCCCAGCCGCCCUGUUUCGGGUUACCCGUUCCCUCCUUCGUCUCGAGGGAGGGCCGGACCCGUUGCAGGGUAGGGCUGAGGAGUUUGGUCAAUAUCUGUCGGAUAAGAUCGCUCGCAUUCGGGACGGGUUGUCCUCUGAUUUGCAGUGGUCUGAGGAACGAUUUGCAGGUAGUCUGGCCACUGUUAUCUGGGAUGAGUUCGAUCCUGUUUCCGAGGAUGAAGUGGACAGGAUUAUGCAGCGGCUGAGUUCCACCACAUGUUUGUUGGACCCGUGUCCCUCCUGGCUGACUUAUGCCGCCAGGGAGGCCACCUACGGUUGGCUCUGGGCAGUUGUCAACGCUUCAUUGAGGGAGGGUGUCUUUCCCUCCACCUUGAAGGAGGCGGUGGUGAGACCCCUCCUGAAGAAGCCUGCCCUGGACCCGACUGUGUUAGACAAUUUCCAUCCGGUCUCCAACCUUUGCUUUUUGGCGAAGGUUGUUGAGAGUGUGGUGGCUCAGCAGGUUCCGCUUUUCCUGGAUGAAGCGGACUACCUGGAUCCGUACCAAUCGGGCUUCCGACCCGGUUAUAGCACGGAGACGGCAUUGGUCGCGCUGAUGGAUGAUCUCUGGAGGGCCCGGGACAGGGGUUUUUCCUCUGUCCUGGUCCUAUUGGACCUCUCAGCGGCUUUCGAUACCAUCGACCAUGGUAUCCUUUUGCGUCG
rnacentral:lncRNA from 1 species